GGAAAAUUAUUAGGGGAAAUUUCACAGUUCAAGGUGUUUUAACUGUUGAUUCAACUGUUUUAAAUUCAAUAAAUGUAACAUCUUAACCAAAGGCAAUGAGUAAUCGUAUUAAAUAAUCACGAUUUCAAUAUUGACCAAACAAUCGGGAUUAUGAUUUUUCCCCCCCCCAUAAUCGAGCAGCCCUAGUAAAAA